AGACCUCAGCCACUUCCUGGGACUUGGAGGCCAGCCCCCAGCUCCCAUCCUGCCCUGGACUUCCCUUCUGGACAGAGAGAGAGACCAGAGAGCUUCUGGACAAGAGCUCCCAUCCUGCCCCGGAGUUCCCAUUUGGACAAGAGAGCUCCCAUCUGGACAAGAGAGAGAGGCUUCCUGAAUCUGUCAGCUCUGUCUGAACCAAGUGUGCUGAUAAGACCAAGAACGAACCACAAGGAGAUGGGCAGAUGUCAAGGCAGAAAUACAUACAACAAAAUGAAGAGCAAUACAGCAUCACCAGAACCUAGCCCUCCUCCAACAUCUAGACCUGAACAUCAAAAAUUGGAAGAAAACAGCCUUAUGAAUGACGUCAUGAAGAAGAUAGAGGCUUGUGUAGAGGAAAAGACAAAAAAAUGGGAAGAACACUGUAAACAACUAGAGGAAAGGACAAACAAAUUAGAAGAAAACAGUAAAGUCCUGCAAGAAAACAAUAAGUUACUGAAAGAAAAUCAAGAAAAAGCAAUGAAACAAAUGAAGGAAACAAUCCAAGACCUGAAAAGGGAAAUAGAAUACUACUGUACCUAGAAAGGUCUCUGUCCGUGAGAACAAAAGUUGCAGAGACACUUGUUUGAACUAAAAUUGUUAACUGCAAAAAGUUUUGGUUGUAAAAUGUCUCUUCAUGUUUGGAAGUAAAAGCCUGAUACCAGAAUUUACUUUUUUUGAACUUUUUAAACAAAAUAAUGAGAUAAAACUACAAAAAGACUUUUGUUAUGGAUUUCUUCAUAUUUGGAAGGCUAGUACCAGAAUUUAUCAUUUGAAUUUUGGGACUUAAUGAAAUGAACAAUAGAUUUCAUUGCAAUGGGACAAUUUUGAGUUUACUUAUAGUAAUGACCUGGGAACUGUUUUCUGGAAUUAUUUGUGUUAAAAAUGGAACUGUUUAAAUGAAGAAAUUUAUUGUUUCUACCUUGAUUCAAGAUGCAGUUUUGUGUAUGCAUAUAUGCUGGUGAUUCAUGAAUUGUUCUGUGUUAAAAAUGCAAUUGUUUUGUGGAACUGUUUAUGUAAAAAUGGAAUUACUUAUGGAACUGGUUUUGUGUUACAAAUCGAACUGUUUAAACAGAAAAGUUUGGGUUUUCUAACUAGGCUUGAGAUUUUGCUUUAAAAAUUAUAAAGAAAAGGAAGAGUUAA